GGAGCCGCCACUUUCGGGUGACUGGAGAAGCAGUUAGCAGCAGCGCCAUAGACUAGCGUCCCCCCACACCUUGGGCACAGAGAGUUUGGGGCUCUAAACAGCUGCUGCUGCGGCAGGAGGGAGCCGAGGGCGCUUGGCUGGGGCUGCUCGCUCGGGUUCUGCCUGUUGUUGCGCGAAAUGGCGGCUGGCGUCUUGCAGGGGCAGCCGCAGCUGGGCAGGGUCGGGAGCUGCCGGGGGAGGCAAAAGGAGAAAACGGGCGCCAUGAUCUCAGUGCUAGGGAAGACUCCGCGGGCAGGGCGUCCCCGAAGAGCUGGCGAAAAGAAAAGCAGGACCAGGCCUGGUUUUCUCCUUCCCGAAUAGUGCCGGGGCUGUGCUGAGAGGAGCGGGAAACGAGCGAGAGGGAAGCAACUCAUGCCUGCCUUUGUAACUGCGUCAGUACAAGAUGGCGCAGGGUGUCCCUGGAGAGGGAAGGGAGUUGCACGUCCGCCGGAGGUCAUGUGACCGCGUUGCAUUCCUGUGGGGUUUGGCUGCGGACCAAGCUGGCUUAGGCGGCGGCGGCGGCUGCCCGGGAGAGCCCGGGCUUCCCUCCCCCUCCUCCUGCACAACGUCGUCGGUCCCGCGCUGGUUCCCUUCCCCCAUCAGCCUUAUGCACGAGGAAGGUUCUCGCUUCUCUCUUUACUCUCCACCCACCUCCAGGGUGUAGCUCCUCUUGGGGGAAGCUUUCCAUUCCGCCCCCUCUCUGCGCAAGGCUUUACCCAGCGCCAGGGAAAGUUCCCCCGGGUGCCUGCUGGCUCCGCCCGAGCGUGGGAGCCGGGUGCGCUCACGGCAGGGCCGCCCGCUCGGUGCGAAGGCGCUCUGCUCGAAGUUAAGUCGCAGGGGGUUAUGGAGUGGUUCUUACUGGAACGGGCGUUUUAAGUGAUGUCUAAAUGACCUCAUUAAAGCCGCUGAGGAAAACGUACAGGCCAUGCGGAGUUGUUCUUCUGACGAGGAGGUCUUGGCUGGUCUAGUGGUGCUCUGCCGGGGAUGCGGGUGGGGGGCCAAGGGAAAAUCUCUCAGGUGUUUAUGAGUUUAUUCUGUUUGAGUAGGAAAAGUGGAUUGCUGUUCUUUGUGUGCUGUUGAAUCCUAUUGCAGAAGUUGAGCAGCUUUGUGUGGAGCGAUAGGUGUAUUCCAAAGUCAGGCCGCAGAUGGCUUGCGUCUUUAACACGGGAAUUGAUGCAUAUACUUGGUGCAAAUUAAAAAUACGGUUUAAAAAUA